GUUUAGGAAGUUGCAGACAAGCCUCUCUGAGGCUUUCUUCCGUUUUCCAGGGGACUGUCCUCAGAACGUCACACUCUGCCGUUUUGUCUCUUAAUGCGCACGCUCAGGAAGCUGUGUCUCCGUGGUGCCUGCAUUCAAUUAACAUUUUAGUACAGCACUUGUGAAUCUUCCGAAAAUGGCCUCUCCCUGGCACCGGCUGCGAAUUUAUCACUUUUAAAGAGGCAAUGUGCAAUUACUCGUGACUGAAAAAUGCAGGAGAAAAUUUCAUGGAAACAGCCUACCAUCACAAUGAAGCACCUUUCCAACACUUAUCGUCGUAAAUGCUACUCUUGGAAUAAGUCGUUUCUUUUGAUAAGACUUUGAACGUGGUUCAAUAAAUGAGAGAGAAUUCAUGCAAAAAUGUACGUCGUUGAAAAGGUUGACUUGGAAUUAUGCUCAUGAUUGGUGGAGAGAUUCAUAUCCAUGAUGUCAUACUCAUUUGACCCUGUUGCCAUUCCUCGACUGGAGGAACUAGAGCAGGAGAACAUGCUUGCACCUCACUGAUGCAGGACCUGCUUCCUUCAGCCCAUGAUGUAUGGAGCAGCCUUUCAGACAACUCCAGGAGAAGAAAGGUGUGAGACUGGAAGCUAUAAACAUAGUUGCUGGCUGUUGAUCAGAUUAGUUUAAAAGUGAAGAAGACCUGAGCUAAUAUGAAGAUGAAAAUUGAGCGCAACACAAAACCAACAAAUACAUCAAGGAAAUGAUGGAAGAAUCACAAAGGACUGAAGAUUGACAAAUGUUGAGGCUGGAAGAAAUUCUAUUUUGGGGUGUGUUUGGGCAUUAAAUACAAAGUUUUAAAAAAAUAUGGAAAGGUGUCUGGAAAUGUGAUACUAAGGAGAUGAUGACAAUGAAGAAUUUUAGAAGAUCAACAGGAGCUUCAUUGUUCACCUGGAGAAGAAUUCCAAGCAAUCAGAACAGGCUGUGCAAGCCAUGGGCUUCUGGAAUCACAUGGCAGGUCUGUUCACCGACAGCAUUUCAGUGUUACUGAGGCAUCAACCACAAGGCAUGGUGUGGCAGGGGAAGGAACAGAUUUUUUAAUGGACAGAGAGACAGAGUUGGAAAAGAAAAUAAAAUGGAAAAGAAAACAGAUUUUGAAGCCAGAAUUCCAGCCUAGCACAUUUUAGAUUCAUCUUCAAGAAGAGUCACUUAACCUUCCUGAAUCUUCAGUUCUUCAUGUGGAAAAUGAAGUAGAGCUUGUCUACCUCUCAGCAUAAUCAGGAUGAUCAAAGAAGGGACCAGGUGAGCAAAUUCAUUUCAGACUCCAAAGCCCUGUGCAUGUGUUCGCUCUCAUCACUACUAUUGUUGGUUAUGUGCAGUGCGCACACAGAAAACUCUGGGCCUAGAAAAAUGGUUUCUGAAGCUAGAAAAUAUCUAACUCCACUUCAAUUUAGUAUUUGCUGUUUUGUUGAUAUUGUUGCUGAAUCAUGGUAAAAUCAUUUCUGAAUGUACUUUGAUGAAUUAUAAUCAUGAGAUUGUAAUGACCAAAUAGUACUUGUUUCUGUCACUAAAUACCUAACGCAAAAUUAUGUUACAUAAUUAAGCAUAUUCUGGGAUUAGGUUAAAAAAACUAAUUUACUAGAAAUUGAAUUUCACCAUUGUGUUCUGAAAA